rnacentral:rRNA from 1 species
UGGAUCCAGACUUUGAUUAUGGCUCAGGAUGAACGCUAGCUACAGGCUUAACACAUGCAAGUCGAGGGGCAGCAUUACGGUAGCUUGCUACUGUAGAUGGCGACCGGCGCACGGGUGAGUAACGCGUAUCCAACCUGCCCAUGACUUGGGGAUAACCUUGCGAAAGCAAGCCUAACACCCGAUACGCUUCAUAGAUGGCAUCUGAAAUGAAGUAAAGGUUUACGGUUAUGGAUGGGGAUGCGUCCGAUUAGCUUGUUGGCGGGGUAACGGCCCACCAAGGCAUCGAUCGGUAGGGGUUCUGAGAGGAAGGUCCCCCACAUUGGAACUGAGACACGGUCCAAACUCCUACGGGAGGCAGCAGUGAGGAAUAUUGGUCAAUGGAGGCAACUCUGAACCAGCCAAGUAGCGUGCAGGAUGACGGCCCUAUGGGUUGUAAACUGCUUUUAUGCGGGGAUAAAAUGACUCACGUGUGGGUUAUUGCAGGUACCGCAUGAAUAAGGACCGGCUAAUUCCGUGCCAGCAGCCGCGGUAAUACGGAAGGUCCGGGCGUUAUCCGGAUUUAUUGGGUUUAAAGGGAGCGUAGGCCGUUGUUUAAGCGUGUUGUGAAAUGUCCCGGCUCAACCGUGGCACUGCAGCGCGAACUGGACGACUUGAGUGCGCGGAACGUAUGCGGAAUUUGUGGUGUAGCGGUGAAAUGCUUAGAUAUCACGAAGAACUCCGAUUGCGAAGGCAGCAUACGGCAGCGCUACUGACGCUGAAGCUCGAAAGCGCGGGUAUCGAACAGGAUUAGAUACCCUGGUAGUCCGCGCGGUAAACGAUGGAUGCCCGCUGUGCGCCAUUUUGGUGUGCGGCCAAGCGAAAGCGUUAAGCAUCCCACCUGGGGAGUACGCCGGCAACGGUGCAACUCAAAUGAAUUGACGGA